rnacentral:rRNA from 1 species
GACGAACGCUGGCGGCGUGCUUAACACAUGCAAGUCGAACGGUGAAGCGGGUGCUUGCACUCGUGGAUCAGUGGCGAACGGGUGAGUAACACGUGAGUAACCUGCCCUCCACUCUGGGAUAAGCGCUGGAAACGGCGUCUAAUACUGGAUACGACCGACCCUCGCAUGGGGUGUUGGUGGAAAGAUUUAUCGGUGGUGGAUGGACUCGCGGCCUAUCAGCUUGUUGGUGGGGUAAUGGCCUACCAAGGCGACGACGGGUAGCCGGCCUGAGAGGGCGACCGGCCACACUGGGACUGAGACACGGCCCGCUACUCCUACGGGAGGCAGCAGUGGGGAAUAUUGCACAAUGGGCGAAAGCCUGAUGCAGCGACGCCGCGUGAGGGAUG